UAUGUCAAUGCUACUCUCUCAAUUUGCCUCGCAAGCAAGCUUGCUUUAAAAAUAACAUCUAGAACAACUCAACUGCAUGGCAGUUGAGUAUACAGUUCAUAAAAGUAUUCUACUAAUAUUUAUCAAUAUUUGCUGGACGUGUGAUAAGUGAUGGUUGACUCUUUCAAGCCAUCGAGGAAUUCGCGCUCCAAGUCCGGCGCUUUGGAAGCGCGUCACUUCCCUGGUGCGCGUGACACGCAUCACGUGGGCAUCACACAGCUGCGCUCUCCCAGCCCUCGAGGAGGAGGCUGAGGGUCACGUGAGAGUUUAGCAAGACAACCCUGGGGCCAAAAUGAUGCUGGUCAACAUGUGUGCUUAUCCCGUCCUUUCAGAAAGGAAAAAUGAUCAGCAUGCUGAGAUGGAUCCAACCCGGGGGAGAUGGUUCGAGCCUACAGAAAUUUCGCAAGAUGGGUUUCGCCACGUAUAAAUACACCGACUGACUUUGGAAAGAAUAAAGGCCAACCAGACCAGCGUAUCUUGAGGGAUCAUCACAUAUUCUCUCAUGGUCUAAAAGAUGCCUGGAAACCCAGCCAUGAUCAAAAGCUUUGCUGACUCGAGAGUGAUUAGGAGAUUCAGACUCCACCAUCACUGUGCGUCACUACAGAAUCCCCACCCCCGCCCCAGGCUCAUUCAACACACGUGCUUGGGUCCCCUCCAGGCCCUGGGGCAGCAGCAUCGUGAAGCAGCUCGGCUAUGAGGGGAAUGCACCCCGUUCCCCAGCACCCUCAGCCCAGUUCUGCUCUCCCAGGCCCAGACAGCCCAGUCAAUAUUUAUCCAGCAGGCCCAGCCUCAGCCAAAGCACA